UACGUAGGGUGCAAGCGUUAAUCGGAAUUACUGGGCGUAAAGCGUGCGCAGGCGAUUUUGUAAGACUGUCGUGAAAUCCCCGGGCUUAACCUGGGAAUGGCGAUGGUGACUGCAAGGCUAGAGUUUGGCAGAGGGGGGUAGAAUUCCACGUGUAGCAGUGAAAUGCGUAGAGAUGUGGAGGAACACCGAUGGCGAAGGCAGCCCCCUGGGUCAAAACUGACGCUCAUGCACGAAAGCGUGGGGAGCAAACAGG
rnacentral:rRNA from 1 species